rnacentral:rRNA from 1 species
UGGGGAAUUUUGGACAAUGGGCGCAAGCCCGAUCCAGCCAUGCCGCGUGCGGGAAGAAGGCCUUCGGGUUGUAAACCGCUUUUGUCAGGGAAGAAAUCUUCUGAGUUAAUACCUCGGGAGGAUGACGGUACCUGAAGAAUAAGCACCGGCUAACUACGUGCCAGCAGCCGCGGUAAUACGUAGGGUGCAAGCGUUAAUCGGAAUUACUGGGCGUAAAGCGUGCGCAGGCGGUUUUGUAAGACAGAGGUGAAAUCCCCGGGCUCAACCUGGGAACUGCCUUUGUGACUGCAAGGCUUGAGUGCGGCAGAGGGGGGAUGGAAUUCCGCGUGUAGCAGUGAAAUGCGUAGAUAUGCGGAGGAACACCGAUGGCGAAGGCAAUCCCCUGGGCCUGCACUGACGCUCAUGCACGAAAGCGUGGGGAGCAAACAGGAUUAGAUACCCUGGUAGUCCACGCCCUAAACGAUGUCAACUGGUUGUU